rnacentral:tRNA from 1 species
GGCAAGGUGGCCGAGUGGUUAAGGCGACAGACUUGAAAUCUGUUCUCUUCGGAGGCGCAGGUUCGAACCCUGCCCUUGUCG